CUCAGUGAGUAAUGCAACAGUCAGGAGCAGACCAGGGGUGUAGGAUCGACUUUGAACCUGGGGGGGAUGCUGAUGGGCUUGCUCUGUGACUGGGAAAAGCGCCCAAGACCAGGACAGAUCUGCGUAACAGUGCACAGCCUGGAUGACAGCUCAUUUUGGUUAAAGGGGCUAUAUAAUGAGCGUAACUGUGGCGAGCGCGGCGGCGGGAUGUCCGACAUUGACGUUGGACGGAUUUGUGCAGCGGUGUUCAUGCGGGAGAGAGAGAGAGAGUGAGUGAGAGGAGGUGCUGAGCGAAUAAGGUAUGUGCUG